rnacentral:rRNA from 1 species
CCCUUAGAUGUCCGGGGCUGCACGCGCGCUACACUGAAGGAAUCAGCGUGCUAAAACCAUUGUCGAAAGGCAUUGGUAAACCCAUUAAAAUCCUACGUGAUUGGGAUCGGGAAUUGCAAUUAUUUCCCUUGAACGAGGAAUUCCCAGUAAGUGUGGGUCAUAAGCUCGCGUUGAUUACAUCCCUGCCCUUUGUACACACCGCCCGUCGCUGCCCGGGACUGAGCCGUUUCGAGAAAAGCGGGGACUGCUGCUGUCGGGGCUUUCGGGCCUUGGCUUCGGUGGAAACCGCUUUAAUCGCAGUGGCUUGAACCGGGCAAAAGUCGUAACA